rnacentral:rRNA from 1 species
GAUGAACGCUGGCGGCGUGCCUAAUACAUGCAAGUCGAGCGAACGGACGAGAAGCUUGCUUCUCUGAUGUUAGCGGCGGACGGGUGAGUAACACGUGGAUAACCUACCUAUAAGACUGGGAUAACUUCGGGAAACCGGAGCUAAUACCGGAUAAUAUUUUGAACCGCAUGGUUCAAAAGUGAAAGACGGUCUUGCUGUCACUUAUAGAUGGAUUCGCGCUGCAUUAGCUAGUUGGUAAGGUAACGGCUUACCAAGGCAACGAUGCAUAGCCGACCUGAGAGGGUGAGCGGCCACACUGGAGGUUAGACGCGGUGCAGCGCCAUAGGGGAGGGAGCAGACGGGAAGUUUGCGCAAUAGGCGAAAGACUGAUAAAGCAAUGUUGCGGGAGUAAUGAAGGUGUUCGGAUCGUGAAGAUCUUCUGUUAGGGACGAACAUAGAUGGAAGUAACUGUGCACGUGUUGGCGGUACCUGAACAGAAAGGCACGGCUAACUACGUG